CAGAGGACUGGGACAGGCCUAAGCCAGCACUAAGAGGCUUAGGCAGGAGGAUCAUCAUGAGUUCGAGGCCAGUCUGAGUUACACAAAGCAGCAGAAGCCUUAUGGAACAGAGUACGCCUUUCCAUGUGGUGGUUGGCAGCAGCAAAGAAGUUUGGGAGCUUCUGAAGGGGCAACUCAUUGGACUACUCUACGAAACACAGAAUUUAAAUUGUCUCUGACCUUUCAAGAGGCAGAAACUUCACUGGCAACAGGACGACGCAAAAUAAGGAUGAUUGUGAUCUCCCAGACUCAUGCUCCAGAGCAACGGGAUUAGUGGCAUGCACCACUAUGACCAGAUAGGCCCACAGUUUUGAUAAAUAAACGCAGCUGGUAUACCAGUAA